AACGAACGCUGGCGGCAUGCCUAACACAUGCAAGUCGAACGAAACCUUCGUGCCUAGUUGCGCAGCUCUAGGGAAGACCGGGGAAGCUGCCCUUAGGUUCGCUAUAACUCCCCGUGGGAGAUGUUAAUACCGGUGAAUCUCUUAGGGCCUAGGAGCUAUCGCCGUUGGCUGGGCCCGCGUUGGUUUCGCUAGUUGGUAGUGUACAAGCAGACCAAGGCGACGAUGCUGAGCUGGUCUGAGAGGAUGAUCAGCUACAAUGGGACUGAGACCCGGCCCAGACCGCUACGGAAGGGAGGAGUAGGGAAUAUUGGGCAAUGAGCGCAAGCCUGAUCAAGCCAUGCCGCGUGAGUGGUGAAGGGCUUAGUGUUGUAAAGCCCUUUUACCCGGGACGAUAAUGACAGUACCGGGAGAAUAAGCACCGGCUAACUACGUG
rnacentral:rRNA from 1 species